rnacentral:lncRNA from 1 species
CUUUAUCAACCUUCUCUCUCCCACUCUCUGCGACUCAUGAACAGAUCUGUGAGGAUUUCACCAGAUCUAGGGUUUUACUUUCAUUCGAUUUCAAAUCCAUGACCCCAUCCUGUGACGGUGUCGUGUGCAGUGUUAAAAUCCGCCGAUUAGGGUUCCGGCAGUGGGAUUCUCGAGCAGAUUGUUGGCAAAUGAGACGAGCAACUGGCGGUAGAUGGUGGUUGAGGUAGGUUCCGACAACCCGGUUCCGAUUUAUCGGCUGCAUGUACGUUUUCUGACAACGAAGUUUAGAAGCUGGUGGCGUGUUUGUGUUGGUUCGACAAAGCCAGAAAGCGGAGGCGACGGCUAGGGUUCCGAUUAGUGAUCUCGGUCCGAUGUUCUUCACGAGAGAUGAUCUACUCGAGAUGGUAAAGAUGGAAUUCCAGCAUUGCUUGGGGUUACAGGGGAUAUACCAGCAGCAGUUACCGUGGAGGAUAUUGAUAUUGCUGUGAAAGCAGCACGCAGAGCUCUUAAACAUGAUGAAGGAAAAGAAUGGGCAUCAGCUUCUGGGGCUCAUCGUGCAAAGUAUCUUCGUUCCAUUGCUACAAAGGUUACUGAGAAAAAGGAUAAGUUCGCUAAGCUUCCAAUGGAUACCUUUAAAUUCCAUAUCAUCAGGGAACCAAUUGGUGGUCUUGGGCUGAUUACUCCAUGGAAUUAUCCUUUGCUAAUGGCUAUUUGGAUAGUUGCAUCUGCACUGGCUGCUGGGUGUGCUGCAGUACUUAAGCCAUCAGAGUUGGCGUCUGUCACGUGUCUGGAAUUAGGCAAAGUAUGCAGGGAGGUGGGGCUGCCCCCUGGCACGUGUCUGCAACAAAAAUUCCUUCCGGCGCGUACACAACUACCACCAGCAAAACUGAAGAUGAGAAUUCUACCGGUGACAUCUAGAGUUGAAUUUGAUGUCUUAAGGUGGUUAUGAGGGUGUGCACCGUGAGUUCCAGCAAAUCAGCAAUGCCUAGAAAGUUUAGAAUGAGGGUUGUACGAUGGUGGUGGUUGUGCGAACACAUUUAGAUGGGCGAUUUGAAGAUGGCCAAAUUUUCCUAGCGAUUGAGGUAAGUACAGUCCUGCUUAGCUUCAUUUAUCAGCUAAUCUUAUCAUUCCGACCAGCAGUAGGUUGAGUGAAUAUGAUGUUUUAGGUCGGUUGGCAGCUAAGAUGUCUCUGACUGCUGUGAAUUUGGAGCCAGUGAAGUGGUGUUGUUUGAUCAAUUAACGUUUACGUGUUUUUUGAUCAAUUAGCGUUUCCUGUUACUAUGCAACAGACCAUUAUGUGGAGUGACAAACUUGGUUUGGUACCGGUGAAUAGUCAUGGGACCUAACUGUAUAUGGGGACUUAUAUUACCGUGCUUUAAUCUUUGUCAUAUAGACUAGAACAACUGCUCAAAAGGACUUAAAUUAUGGAACAUUGGGCUCGCUGGGAGGUACAAAGAAGAGUUGAAUUGUGAAAUUCAACAUGCUUUCAUUUUAUAAUUAUAAGCACUCAUUAUUUAACCUGACAUUUCACAGAUCAGCAGCUUAAAAUAUCUAAUGUCGCUUAACACAUUAGUUUUCUAAUUGAAAUGUGUUUUGAGUAGGUUAAUAACUUACUGAAGCAAUUCUAGGGGCUGUUACCAGAACUUUGGGUAUUCCAGAUACCAUUUUUUUCUUAACUGGAAGUAAAGAUGGGAUGUAACGCUUUGGGAUGCUUAGAGGGCAAAAUUGGUAUCAAUGGCCAAAAAUGCAUGAUAGACAACAUUAAUAUUGUGGUUGGCUCAUAGAGUUGUACUAAUCUGAUGGGAACAUUGAUCUGGUGUGGCAUCUUGGGAUACUUGUUUGUAUUGUUCUGCAGGGAGUGAAUGUUUGAUGGGAUGCUGUUCCAUAUUCCAUCAAUUGGCAUUGCCUCCCAUUUGCUUUGUUAUACGAUUUAUGUCUGUUGGUUCAUAGAUUUGGCUUCCUUGGGAUAGAAAAUGUUUGUAUCUGGGGUGGCCCUUUGGUUUCAUAUAUUAAUUAGCUGGUUAGUCUUGGUGCAAUUUAAGAGUGUUACAGGUUGGUGCUAAGAUGAAAACUGUUAUUUUUGUUGAUUUUGUGAUGUUUAAUGGAAGUUUGUUUUGGCUGGUCAAAAAAAGAAAAACAACGUUCAUAAUUACAGAUUAUAUAUUUUGGCAAGAAAAUCUACAUAUACCAGCCAAGCGAAUAGUAUACAUUCACAUGUGAGAAUUUUUUAAUAUAUUAAAAGGUGGAAAAAUUGCAUAUGUGCCAAUUUGACCUGACCCAUUGACCCACAUAAAAUUACCCUCUUUGUCAAAGAGUCUUUGAGUUGGUACUGAAUUUCACCUCUUAGCACAGUCCAGUUUGUCACAUGUAGAUACUUGAUUUCUAUUUACAACUAACCAACAAUUAUAAAAUAAUGAAAAAAUUAAUGUGCAAAAGUAUUAAAUUACAAAUCAAAGAGUUGGUUAAAGUAUUUGGUGUUUUUUGUUCAAAUGCUUCUGAGUUAAAGAGUUUGGUCUUCUUUUUGUUCAGAUAGUUGAAUUAACAAAAAAUUAUAUAUAUUUUGUGAGGAUUGAUAAACUAAUAGAAACAAGUACCCUCUUGCAAAAAUUGUCACUAUCACAACAUUGUUUGGUAAAGAUUAUUUUGUUUGGUCUCACGCAACCUAGAGUUGGCUAUAUUGUGCUAUUUUGUUUGGGUAAAUUUCAUAUGGUCGGUCGCCCGGUGAAAGGAGACUUUUCCGUAAUUUCAUAAGGAGACUUAUUUUAGAUUUACAUAAGAAUAAAUAUGCAUGUCAGAUGUAGCACGUGAGGAUUGAUAAGUUAACUUAAUUGAGUUGUAACGUAUUUUACACGAAUACGAAAAUUAACUUAAUAUACCAUGAGAUGA